rnacentral:rRNA from 1 species
GAUGAACGCUGGCGGCGUGCCUAAUACAUGCAAGUAGAACGCUGAAGGAAGGAGCUUGCUCUUUCCGGAUGAGUUGCGGACGGGUGAGUAACGCGUAGGUAACCUGCCUGUUAGCGGGGGAUAACUAUUGGAAACGAUAGCUAAUACCGCAUAACAGUAGAUGUUGCAUGAUAUCUACUUAAAAGGUGCAAUUGCACCACUACCAGAUGGACCUGCGUUGUAUUAACUAGUUGGUUAGGUAACGGCUCACCAAGGCGAAGAUACAUAGCCGGCCUGAGAGGGGGAACGGCCCAACUGGGACCGAGACACGGCCCAGACUCCUACGGGAGGGAGCAGUAGGGGAAUCUCGGGCAUGGACGGAAGGCUGAACGGACAACGCCGGGUGAAGGGAGAAGGUUUUCGGAUCGGUAAGAUCCGUUGUAAGGGAAGAAAGAGAGGGAGAGUGGAAAGUUCACACUGUGACGGUACCUUACCAGAAAGGGACGGCUAACUACGUG